CUUGUCUGUAUCAAUAACAAAAAGCAGUGUCAAAUAUCAACUUAUAACAAGACAUAGAAGGUGAUUUUGUUUAACAUACAUACAAUUAUGAGAAGCAAGAUGAGUAAUGCCUGUGGAGCAACAAUUGCAGAAAGUUUCACAAGUAGAGGGCCUCUGCCUAAGAGGGGACAGAUCAAGUCGAGGAUUGCAGCAAAUGCUUUUCAUUCAAUCGUUUCUGUGCUCUCAAGAGCCUCUUCUGAUCAACACCAGUCUAGGGGGAAACCUAUUUUUUGAGGGAGAUGAUAAACCAUCUUGUAUUGUACUGUAGUAGAUAAAUGCAUUAAUAAUAGUUUUUUUCUUUUUCAUCUCCUGUUUCUUCUCCCUGUAUGUACA
rnacentral:lncRNA from 1 species